AGGAAGUGUCCCUUUUCCCCUCCACUCUUCCAACAGCAACACAAUGUGAUCCACCGGCAAGGAAGGACACCAAUGGAAGGUAUGUGAACAGGAAUCUUGGUUUCACCCUUACCUACAGCUUCCAGGAAGCUCUGCUAAGAUAAUAAAAAUACCACAAUAUAAAUCAGUGUCCCCCAGUCAUGUGUAUUUCUGGCCUUACACCAGGACAGAAGCAAGAACACUUCUAACUUCUGGCCAAGAACAAGAAUCGAGUAACUGUAAGAAGGAGUAGUCUAUGGGUCUGAAGAGAUGGCUCAGAGGCAUUUCAAGAGAACUUGCUGCUCUUCUAUAAGAUGUGGAUUUGGUUCCCAGCACCUCUAUGGCAGCUCACAACUACCUGUAACUCCAAUUCCAGGGGAUGGGAUUCCUUCUUUGGUAAUCCACUCAUGUGGUGCAUAUGCAUGCAGGCAGGCAAAUAUUCAUACACAGAAAAAUUUUAAAGUAAAAUGUUUUUAAACAUAAGAAAAAACGAAUAAUCUACCAAGGACAUGAGGGAGAAAAUGCUUAGUAAUAGGGGAAUUGGAGUCAGAAAACAAAAGUUUUCAUAUCAAAUUGUCCAUCCUUGACAAUGUGGUGGUUUGGAAGAAAAGGGCUCCCAUAGGGAGUGGCACUAUUAGGAGGUGUGGCUCUGUUGGAGUAGAUAUGGCGUUGUUGGAGGAUGUGGCGGUUUGAGGUCUCUUAUGCUCAAGCUAUGUCCAGUGUCACAUUUCACUUCCUUUGGCCUGUGGAUCAAGAUGUAGAACUCUCGGUUCCUUCUCCAACAUCAUGUCUGCCUGCAUUCUGCAUGUCCCGCCAUGUUAAUAAUGGACUGAACCUCUGAACUGUAAGCUGCCACCUCAAUGAAAUGUUUUCCUUUAUAAGAGUUGCUGUGGUCAUGGUGUCUUUUC
ensembl:lncRNA